rnacentral:rRNA from 1 species
GGGUUGUGAGGUUAAGCGACUAAGCGUACACGGUGGAUGCCCUGGCAGUCAGAGGCGAUGAAGGACGUGCUAAUCUGCGAUAAGCGUCGGUGAGGUGAUAUGAACCGUUAUAACCGGCGAUUUCCGAAUGGGGAAACCCAGUGUGUUUCGACACACUAUCAUUAACUGAAUCCAUAGGUUAAUGAGGCGAACCGGGGGAACUGAAACAUCUAAGUACCCCGAGGAAAAGAAAUCAACCGAGAUUCCCCCAGUAGCGGCGAGCGAACGGGGAGGAGCCCAGAGCCUGAAUCAGUGUGUGUGUUAGUGGAAGCGUCUGGAAAGGCGUGCGAUACAGGGUGACAGCCCCGUACACAAAAAUGCACAUAUUGUGAGCUCGAUGAGUAGGGCGGGACACGUGGUAUCCUGUCUGAAUAUGGGGGGACCAUCCUCCAAGGCUAAAUACUCCUGACUGACCGAUAGUGAACCAGUACCGUGAGGGAAAGGCGAAAAGAACCCCGGCGAGGGGAGUGAAAAAGAACCUGAAACCGUGUACGUACAAGCAGUGGGAGCCUCUUAAUGGGGUGACUGCGUACCUUUUGUAUAAUGGGUCAGCGACUUAUAUUCUGUAGCAAGGUUAACCGAAUAGGGGAGCCGAAGGGAAACCGAGUCUUAACUGGGCGUUAAGUUGCAGGGUAUAGACCCGAAACCCGGUGAUCUAGCCAUGGGCAGGUUGAAGGUUGGGUAACACUAACUGGAGGACCGAACCGACUAAUGUUGAAAAAUUAGCGGAUGACUUGUGGCUGGGGGUGAAAGGCCAAUCAAACCGGGAGAUAGCUGGUUCUCCCCGAAAGCUAUUUAGGUAGCGCCUCGUGAAUUCAUCUCCGGGGGUAGAGCACUGUUUCGGCAAGGGGGUCAUCCCGACUUACCAACCCGAUGCAAACUGCGAAUACCGGAGAAUGUUAUCACGGGAGACACACGGCGGGUGCUAACGUCCGUCGUGAAGAGGGAAACAACCCAGACCGCCAGCUAAGGUCCCAAAGUCAUGGUUAAGUGGGAAACGAUGUGGGAAGGCCCAGACAGCCAGGAUGUUGGCUUAGAAGCAGCCAUCAUUUAAAGAAAGCGUAAUAGCUCACUGGUCGAGUCGGCCUGCGCGGAAGAUGUAACGGGGCUAAACCAUGCACCGAAGCUGCGGCAGCGACACUAUGUGUUGUUGGGUAGGGGAGCGUUCUGUAAGCCUGUGAAGGUGGCCUGUGAGGGUUGCUGGAGGUAUCAGAAGUGCGAAU